rnacentral:rRNA from 1 species
UACGUAGGGCGCAAGCGUUGUCCGGAAUUAUUGGGCGUAAAGAGCUCGUAGGCGGUUUGUCGCGUCUGCUGUGAAAACCUAAGGCUCAACCUUGGGCUUGCAGUGGGUACGGGCAGACUAGAGUGCGGUAGGGGUGACUGGAAUUCCUGGUGUAGCGGUGGAAUGCGCAGAUAUCAGGAGGAACACCGAGUGGCGAAGGCAGGUCACUGGGCCGCAACU